rnacentral:siRNA from 1 species
GGGCGUCAGAAAUUUGUUGGA